rnacentral:rRNA from 1 species
AACGAAGAGGUAUCGUAAUUGAAGAGGUUUGGAAAGACCCACCACAGAAGGUAAUAGUCCUGUAUGUUAAACGAGAAGACUUCAGAUAUGAUCCAGAGUACCACGGGACACGUGAAACCCUGUGGGAAGCAGGAGGGACCACCCUCCAAGGCUAAAUACUACCUAGUGACCGAUAGCGUAUAGUACCGUGAGGGAAAGGUGAAAAGAACCCCGGGAGGGGAGUGAAAUAGAACCUGAAACCCUGCACUUACAAGCUGUGGAAGCACAUUUCUUGUGUGACCGCGUACUUUUUGUAGAACGGGCCAACGAGUUACGUUAAGUAGCAAGGUUAAGCACUUAAGGUGUGGAGCCGUAGCGAAAGCGAGUUUUAACUGAGCGUUCAGUUACUUGACGUAGACCCGAAACCGGGCGACCUACCCAUGAGCAGGAUGAAGCGAAAGUAAAAUUUCGUGGAGGUCCGAACCCACGAGCGUUGAAAAGCUCGGGGAUGACUUGUGGGUAGCGGUGAAAUUCCAAUCGAGCCCGGAGAUAGCUGGUUCUCCCCGAAAUAGCUUUAGGGCUAGCCUCAAGG